CGUAGGGUGCAAGCGUUAAUCGGAAUUACUGGGCGUAAAGCGUGCGCAGGCGGUUGUGUAAGUCUGUCGUGAAAUCCCCGGGCUCAACCUGGGAAUUGCGAUGGAGACUGCACGGCUAGAGUGUGUCAGAGGGGGUAGAAUUCCACGUGUAGCAGUGAAAUGCGUAGAUAUGUGGAGGAACACCGAUGGCGAAGGCAGCCCCCUGGGAUAACACUGACGCUCAUGCACGAAAGCGUGGGGAGCAAACAGGAUUAGAUACCCUGGUAGUCCACGCCCUAAACGAUGUCAACUAGUUGUCGGGUCUUAAUUGACUUGGUAACGCAGCUAACGCGUGAAGUUGACCGCCUGGGGAGUACGGUCGCAAGAUUA
rnacentral:rRNA from 1 species